rnacentral:rRNA from 1 species
CAAUGGGCGCAAGCCUGACCCAGCAACGCCGCGUGAAGGAAGAAGGCCCUCGGGUUGUAAACUUCUUUUAUUCGGGACGAAACAAAUGACGGUACCGAAUGAAUAAGCCACGGCUAACUACGUGCCAGCAGCCGCGGUAAUACGUAGGUGGCAAGCGUUAUCCGGAUUUACUGGGUGUAAAGGGCGUGUAGGCGGGAGAGCAAGUCAGACGUGAAAAUCCAGGGCUCAACCCUGGAACUGCGUUUGAAACUGUAGUUCUUGAGUACUGGAGAGGCAGACGGAAUUCCUAGUGUAGCGGUGAAAUGCGUAGAUAUUAGGAGGAACACCAGUGGCGAAGGCGGUCUGCUGGACAGCAACUGACGCUGAGGCGCGAAAGCGUGGGGAGCAAACAG